AUUUUCUAAAAAAAAUAAGGGAUAGGUAGAAAAGCAGUCCCUCCAAGAUUUCACGAGGUUUUUUGAGACUGUUUCGACCUAAAAUGCCUGGAUGGAAGUUGCAGUGUUUUUAGCUGUUUCUUGUGGAGAAAUUGCUGGAGGAAGUGAAAAUUGCAAAAAUAGUUGUAAUUUUUUUUUUUUUUAAUUUAGGGCAAUUAAGGU